rnacentral:rRNA from 1 species
CCAAUAGCGUAUAUUAAAGUUGUUGCAGUUAAAAAGCUCGUAGUUGAACUUCGGGGUCUACCCAUUGGUCAGGCUUCAUUGUCUGCACUGGUGAGAUGGAUCUCUACCUUCUGAGGAACUUUCAUGCCAUUUAUUUGGUGUGGUUGGAAAUCAGGACUGUUACUUUGAAAAAAUUAGAGUGUUUAAAGCAGACUAUCGUCUGAAUACAUUAGCAUGGAAUAAUGAAAUAGGACGGACUGAUUCUAUUUCGUUGGUUUCUAGGAUCACCGUAAUGAUUAAUAGGGAUAGUUGGGGGCAUUAGUAUUCAAUUGUCAGAGGUGAAAUUCUUGGAUUUAUUGAAGACUAACUACUGCGAAAGCAUUUGCCAAGGAUGUUUUCAUUAAUCAAGAACGAAAGUUAGGGGAUCGAAGACGAUCAGAUACCGUCGUAGUCUUAACCAUAAACUAUGCCGACUAGGGAUCGGACGAAGUUAAUUUUAUAAUGACGCGUUCGGCACCUUACG